ACGGAAGGCAGCAGUGAGGAAUAUUGGUCAAUGGGCGCAAGCCUGAACCAGCCAAGUCGCGUGAAGGAAGACUGCCCUAUGGGUUGUAAACUUCUUUUGCAUGGGAAUAAAGUGGGCCACGUGUGGCUUUUGUAUGUACCAUGCGAAUAAGCAUCGGCUAACUCCGUGCCAGCAGCCGCGGUAAUACGGAGGAUGCGAGCGUUAUCCGGAUUUAUUGGGUUUAAAGGGUGCGUAGGCGGGAUGGUAAGUCAGUGGUGAAAGUUUGCGGCUCAACCGUAAAUUGCCGUUGAAACUGCCGUUCUUGAGUGCGAGCGAGGUAGGCGGAAUGUGCCGUGUAGCGGUGAAAUGCAUAGAUAUGGUACAGAACUCCGAUUGCGAAGGCAGCCUACCAGUACGCUACUGACGCUGAGGCACGAAAGCGUGGGUAUCGAACAGGAUUAGAUACCCUGGUA
rnacentral:rRNA from 1 species